UUUCGGUGCUUACGAGCUUAAAAGGGAAUUCCGUGAAAGUCGGAAACACUCCCGGUGCUGUAACCCUAUUGUUUCUUUUAGCAUUUUUGGGUCACUGUUUUAAAAAUGGGAAGACCGCUAAAAGAAUGGGGAAGUCAGAAGACCUGCCAGAAAGACU
rnacentral:ncRNA from 1 species